rnacentral:lncRNA from 1 species
GCCAUCUCUUCACUGAGCCCACGUCAACAAAGAAUGUUCCAACUGCAAGAUCCUGAAUAAACACGCUUCAGUUCUGCUCCUCGGGAACCGUAUUUGAGACGGGUGUCCCUGAGAGCGGACCUCAGAGGCAGGCUCUCAUCCCAGAGAUGGACCAAUAACCCAAUGACAAUGAAGAUCCUGCACUGGGAGCAGGUAGAGGUUGACAGCUCCAGGCAUUGGGUAGCAGCAUGUCACCUGAGCUAAACUGAGACAGAAGCUGGAGCAGCUGUCCCUGCUGGAGCCGUGUCCCUGCUCACUCCCACUCGUGCCUUCUUCAGUGACAGGAGCCAAUGCUGUCCCUUUCCUCCAAACAAAGUUGACUUGAGUCUCUGCCAUAUUCUGUGUUGCACAUUGCAGAGACAAUUGCACAAACAGAUCCUCUUAUUACUCAGUCAGGCUGAGCCCAUGGUGACUACUGCACUGAUGUCAUUCUACCCCAAGAAGAAGGGUGCCAGUAAGGAGGGCCCACUCAAACACUUGAGCAUUCCCAGGCCAAACUGGAGAGGGUCUCAGGACCUGGGACCACCACAACUGUUCCAUGGAAAGGAGGUGUAGAAAUCCAGGAUUCUGAGAUGGGCUGGGGUUGUGUGUCCCUGAAAGCACACUCAAAUGAGCCACUGGGAUGGACACGUGGAUCUUCUAUGAUGUACAUCAUCAGUCAUCAGUCAAGUCACUCUGGGAGGCAGCGGAAGAAACCAGCUCUAAUUACCUUCAGGGGAAAAGACCUGUGCUGAAUGAAUAGAGAGGCUGUGAAGGAGGAUUAGAAACAAGCUUGGAAAGUAAGCAUGACCCACACAAGCUUGGGCCUGGUAUAAGAGAGACGAACUUUAACUCCACCCUUCUACCCCAUUGCACGCGUGGUCAUUUUAAAAAUGUAGACAAAGUUGUUCCCCACCCCAUAAACCUCUGUCACUUAUGGUAAGAAGCAGGAUCUACCAGAAGAUGCCUCAGGGACUGUCUUGGUUGAUGGCAAGAAACAACAAAAGACAAGUAUAGGCUCCAAGUCUGGCCAGACUGUGAUCACACAUUAGAAAUCGUUCUUAUGGGGCCGAGGAGAUGGGCCAGUGGUGAAAGUGUUUGCCGUGCGAGCCCGGGAUGGAGCCCAAGAGGGAGGGAGAAAAUCAAUUCCUGAAAAUAUUCCUCUGACUGCCACAAGCAGGCUGUGGCAUGUGCAUGCAUGGCACACAUACACACAAACAUGUGCA